CCUACGGGUGGCAGCAGUGAGGAAUAUUGGUCAAUGGACGAGAGUCUGAACCAGCCAAGUCGCGUGCAGGAUGACUGCCCUAUGAGUUGUAAACUUCUUUUAUAUGUGGAUAAACUGUUCCACGUGUGGGGUUUUGUAUGUACCAUAUGAAUAAGGAUCGGCUAACUCCGUGCCAGCAGCCGCGGUAAUACGGAGGAUCCGAGCGUUAUCCGGAUUUAUUGGGUUUAAAGGGAGCGUAGGUGGUUUGUUAAGUCAGUUGUGAAAUUUCGCUGCUCAACCGGCAAAUUGCAGUUGAUACUGUCAGACUAGAGUAUAGUAGAGGUAGGCGGAAUGUGUGGUGUAGCGGUGAAAUGCUUAGAGAUCAUGAAGAACGCCGAUUGCGAAGGCAGCUCACUGGACUGUAACUGACACUGAGGCACGAAAGCGUGGGUAGCAAACAGGAUUAGAUACCCUAGUAGUC
rnacentral:rRNA from 1 species